rnacentral:misc_RNA from 1 species
AGUGUGUGUGUGUGUGUGUGUUUUGUUGUGGAAAUUCAACUUCAAAAUCUGAGAAACCCUGGAAUCCAAAAAGGGGCAAUCUUUGUUGUGUAGUUUACAGAUUUGCUGUGCUAAUAUAAUAUGUUAUAUUAAGGCUCUAUAGUUUGAUUGGUAUGGUGGCUCUACAUCCUGAUACUUUGUGAUAGAAAUCAUGUGUAAUAAAGCAUGCUUCCAGGGAUUGGAAAAGCUGUCACAAGGUAUUUUUAUAUUUCCGGAUUCUGGUCUUGUUGUAAACUUGUAAUGAUGGCUUUUGAACUAAGAAUCAUGACAGAGUCACAGAGAGAAAUUCCUAAUGAGAAAUAUAAGUUCGACAUAGUUUCUGUGGCUAUAGCAUAAUCCCUUGGCCUUGACAUAGUUGCAAAUGAACUGCAGGAUUCACUAGGAAGGUUAUUACUAUUUGGCUUAUCGCUUAAGUAUUUUGUUCAUUUAGAUGAUAAAUUGUGGAGUGGCAGAUACAAAAGCAGUUAUAUCGGACCUGCUUAUAUAGUGCAUAAUGUUGAAGUUAUUGCUAGUUUUAUCAGCUGUAAUUUCUAGUCCUGGCACACACGAAGGUUCAUAAUGACAAUGAGUAACUUAUGGGUGCAAAAAAUUUAAUUAGCAUGUUGGCUAUUUCAUAUUGCUUUUCACUGCACCCUUUUCCUUUUAGCCAGCCACUUCUUAAUAUAACAAAUGACAAAUCCUGUUUAAAGAAGUGUUAUCUCCUCAAAGGAUUAGGAUUUGUCUCUAAUACUAUGUUUCACUUGUUUUUUAAUCCAUGUGAUAGGAAAAGAAAAGAAAUAAGAGGUUAGAUAUUUCCCAUGUUUGGGAAUUUCAAGGGAUGGGAAAAGAUUUUAAGUAUUAAGUGUAUAAUUGUCAUAUUUAAAAAAUAGUUUUAAAUAUGGAGGAAAGGAUAACUCUUAUGCCCUCAAUUUUGAUGGGAAAACAA